AUUAAGGGUAUUGUGGCAAACCCUGCCACUAAAAUACUAACUAUUCUGUGCGAAUGAACAUUGGAAUUAUUACAAGCGAAUGGGUGCAAAGGCAGAGACUAAUUCACGAACGGACUAUAAUGCUAUUCAUGCUGUUCUGUAUGCGAAUGCCCUGAAACUACCGAACGAGAGACCACCCUGGGGUGGUCGUGUGUCUCAUAUUAACCAAAGAUACAAUGUUGCGAAGUGUAUUAAGUGCCAGUGUG